rnacentral:rRNA from 1 species
UUUAUUCGUCAUUGGGUGAAAGCCUGAUUCAGCUAUGCCGCUUGUCUUAAGCAUUNCCNNUGCUUNUNAAUCACUUUACGUUGNNNNNAAGGCUUGUAGCCUACUACUCUACACUUUUGACGUUACCGACAGAAUAAGCACCGGCUAACUUCGUGCUAUCAGCAGCGGUAAUACGAAGGGUGCAAGCGUUCAUCGGAAUUACUGGGCGUAAAGCGCGCGUAGGUGGUUCGUUAAGUUAGAUGUGAAAGCCCCGGGCUCAACCUGGGAACUGCAUCCAAGACUGGCGAGCUAGAGUAAGGUAGAGGGUGGUGGAAUUUCCUGUGUAGCGGUGAAAUGCGUAGAUAUAGGAAGGAACACCAGUGGCGAAGGCGACCACCUGGACUGAUACUGACACUGAGGUGCGAAAGCGUGGGGAGCAAACAGG